AUUGAACGCUGGCGGAAUGCUUUACACAUGCAAGUCGAACGGCAGCACGGACUUCGGUCUGGUGGCGAGUGGCGAACGGGUGAGUAAUGUAUCGGAACGUGCCCAGUCGUGGGGGAUAACGUAGUGAAAAUUACGCUAAUACCGCAUACGAUCUAUGGAUGAAAGCGGGGGAUCGCAAGACCUCGCGCGAUUGGAGCGGCCGAUAUCAGAUUAGGUAGUUGGUGGGGUAAAGGCCCACCAAGCCAACGAUCUGUAGCGGGUCUGAGAGGACGACCGGCCACACUGGGACUGAGACACGGUCCAGACUCCUACGGGAGGCAGCAGUGGGGAAUUUUGGACAAUGGGCGAAAGCCUGAUCCAGCCAUUCCGCGUGCAGGAUGAAGGCCCUCGGGUUGUAAACUGCUUUUGUACAGAACGAAAAAGUUACUACUAAUACUAGGAGCUCAUGACGGUACUGUAAGAAUAAGCACCGGCUAACUACGUGCCAGCCGCCGCAGUAA
rnacentral:rRNA from 1 species